GAGCUUGGAGCCGCAGGGCUUAAUCCCGCGCGGCUCAGAGAUGGGUUUCUGGACUCGCGAAGCAGCGGCAACAAGGCAUCACUCAUUGUAUAAGUAUUUCCAUUUCUGAGAGCAAAAGGAAGAACUUAAGCGGGCGGCACUUGGAGUGUAAAUUGCUUUGUAGUAUUUAAAGGCAGAAUGGAUCCUGGGCAGCCGAGCUGAAUCACUGUUAUAUUUUUAACCUUAUUCCUGGAAGCACUACGGAUGUCAGAUCAAUUUAGAAAACCAAAGAGUACCUCUGGGAAUGAAAUGGCAGUAAUAUAAACAAUAUUUGGCCAAACUGUCACUGUAUGCCAAUGAUGCCAAAAAUCACAGUAACCUGGCAGCAACAAACCAGCAGGACUUCCUGUGAAAUCAUGACCGCCAUGUGCUCUUUCAGCCUCCAUCAAUCCCUACCUCUAAGCACCUGAGAGCCAAAGCAAACCACAGGAAACCACAGGUAUUAACUCUUUUAGACCUGAUGAAGUGUCUCCCAAAGACAG